GGGGGAUUCUUUCUGUAAUAAGAUAUAAAGGUCAGCGAAACAGCAGAGCAAACGGACACUAGACCAACACUGCGAUAACAUCAAAGUAACCAAAACACCAUGAUAGGAGACUACAAGACCGAUAAUUCAGCAAAAAAA